AUUGAACGCUGGCGGCAGGCCUAACACAUGCAAGUCGAACGAGUGGCGGACGGGUGAGUAACACGUGGGAACCUACCCAUCAGAGGGGGAUAACACUUGGAAACAGGUGCUAAUACCGCAUACUGAUGCAUGAACCGGCGGUGCAUUAGCUAGUUAGUGAGGUAACGGCUCACCAAGGCCACGAUGCAUAGCCGACCUGAGAGGAUGACCAGCCACACUGGAACUGAGACACGGUCCAGACUCCUACGGGAGGCAGCAGUGGGGAAUAUUGCACAAUGGGCGCAAGCCUGAUGCAGCCAUGCCGCGUGUAUGAAGAAGGCCUUCGGGUUGUAAAGCACUUUCAGUGAGGAGGCGUUACUCGCAGAAGAAGCCCCGGCUAACUCCGUGCCAGCAGCCGCGGUAAUUC
rnacentral:rRNA from 1 species